rnacentral:rRNA from 1 species
CCUACGGGAGGCAGCAGUAGGGAAUCUUCCACAAUGGGCGAAAGCCUGAUGGAGCAACGCCGCGUGAGUGAUGAAGGCCUUCGGGUUGUAAAACUCUGUCAUUCGGGACGAACCGGAGUCUGAGGAAAUGCAGACUCUCUGACGGUACCGGAGGAGGAAGCCCCGGCUAACUACGUGCCAGCAGCCGCGGUAAUACGUAGGGGGCAAGCGUUGUCCGGAUUCACUGGGCGUAAAGCGCGCGCAGGCGGUGAUGUAAGUCUGAGGUGAAAACCCGAAGCUCAACUUCGGGACUGCCUUGGAUACUGCGUCACUUGAGGAUAGGAGAGGCAAGGGGAAUUCCACGUGUAGCGGUGAAAUGCGUAGAGAUGUGGAGGAACACCUGUGGCGAAGGCGCCUUGCUGGCCUAUUUCUGACGCUGAGGCGCGAAAGCGUGGGGAGCAAACAGGAUUAGAUACCCUGGUAGUCCACGCUGUAAACGAUGAGUGCUAGGUGUAGGUGGGCUCAUACCCAUCUGUGCCGAAGCUAACGCAUUAAGCACUCCGCCUGGGGAGUACGGUCGCAAAGACGAGAACGACGAAGAGUAGAGACGNGNGAGNGCGACGGACGACACGAGGAGGAGGAG